UACGUAGGUGGCAAGCGUUGUCCGGAUUUAUUGGGUUUAAAGGGUGCGUAGGCGGCUUUGUAAGUCAGUGGUGAAAUAUGGCAGCUCAACUGUCAGGGUGCCAUUGAUACUGCAGAGCUUGAGUACAGAUGAGGUAGGCGGAAUUGACGGUGUAGCGGUGAAAUGCUUAGAUAUCGUCAAGAACACCGAUAGCGAAGGCAGCUUACUGGGCUGUAACUGACGCUGAGGCACGAAAGUGUAGGGAUCAAACAGG
rnacentral:rRNA from 1 species